rnacentral:lncRNA from 1 species
GAAAAAGCUAAUACUGGACUAGCUUAAACCAUGGCUCUAAAUCAAAAAGAUUUUUACCCCUGCUACAGUAGGAAAUGGAGACAUUCAACAUUCCUAAACAGAAAGGCCUUUUACAGAUUAUAGACCUGCACUCUGAGAUGGAAAAACUUGAAAAUACCAGAGCCUUCUUCUCUUCUGACUUAUGAUUUCACAUUUAAAUGAAAACUCUGCAUAGAGAUUCCAGGGAAUUCAGUAAGACUCUCUUAAAAGAAAACUCUAACAGAAGAGAAGAUGCUGAAGAUAAUUCCUCUCCUCCUUUUUAUAUGGUAUCCUACAGAUUGCAACCUUUUACUGCUAUUUUUCUACUGCUGAAAGCAAACACAACUUACCAAAUACCAAGAGCAAUUUAAGAAGUCUGCAGACUACUUUUGGUGUUUAGACUGGGUGAUGAACAUCUACAUUACACAAAACCCAUGCUUUGGGUACCAUUUUUCAGUAUGCCCCUGAGUUUUUACAACAAAUAAUAACUUUGUCUUAUGUUCUCUGCCCUCAAAACCAGCUUUCCUAGAUGUUGGAAGUUAGCUAGAAUGGUGAUCAAAUAUUAUCUGAGCUCAACAAGGUGCUCUCUCAUGCAGUGCCAUGUUCUACAUCCUGGCAGGCAGCUGGCAGCAGAGCUUCAUUUAUGAUAUUCUGAAGAAAAUUUUUACUUUCUUAAUACUACACUUCAUCCUUCCAUAAGCAAAGAAGGCUUUUUAAAUUUAAGGUGGUCAUUAGCUAUGUUAAAGCAUAUAGAGAGUCACAGCAGAAUUUUCCUGGUAAGAAAGCAUUUCUGACUGGACACAGAUAUAUUUUGGAACACAUCCUGUUCAGUAGUUUGAUAUAGACAAAGAACAACCUGAGGUUCACUUCUGGGGUUUUGUUUUAGUCAAGAUUUGUUAAGAGAGUAAAGCCUGAUGUGACAAAAUUACGCUUCAAUUGUAUGUUAUUUUUAUCAAUGAAAUAUAAAAACUACUUACUAAAGUUUGUUAACCUUCCAUACUGGAUAAAACAGCAAAAAUACUUAAUGAGUUCCUCACAAUAAUGACAAUGAAGGAAAACACUGGGAAUAACAACACAAAAUUUUCAAAGUUCAAGAAAGUGAAAAAGAUGAAAACUCAGAGUUAGCCACAUUAUUUUCAUAGUACACAAUGCUGGGAAAACCCCCUGAGAUCUAGUAUUAAUCAAUAUGGAUGGUGCAGUUGCAGCAGCAUUUUAAAACAUCUGCAAUUCAAAUGUAAACACUGAGUAGGUUUUGCAAGUUUGCUGAAGUAUUCGAUAAGGAUGUUCUGGGGUAUUGCAACACUGAUUUCUGCUUUGGGCUAUUACAUGCUUCCUGAUUGCUUCCAAUGACCUACAGUGACUCCUCAGUGGCUGGGAUGGUAUUGAAGGACCUCACUUCUGAGAUCUGGCAGGGUUUUAUGCCUACUUGACAUUUUCCAGUGUGGAUAUCAAGCCUGGGGAAAAAAAAUAAAAAUCAUACAACUCCUGAGCA